CCUACGGGAGGCAGCAGUGGGGAAUAUUGGACAAUGGGCGCAAGCCUGAUCCAGCAAUGGCCGCGUGUGUGAAGAAGGCCUUCGGAUUGUAAAGCUCUUUUGCCAGGGACGAUAAUGACGGUACCUGGAGAAUAAGCCCCGGCAAACUUCGUGCCAGCAGCCGCGGUAAU
rnacentral:rRNA from 1 species